UAACGCGUGGAUAACCUGCCUGAUAGCCCGGGAUAACAGCUGGAAACGGCUGCUAAUACCGGAUACGCUGAGCAGAACGCAUGUUCUACUUAGGAAAGAUUUAUCACUAUCAGAUGGAUCCGCGUCCCAUUAGCUAGUUGGUGGUGUAACGGACCACCAAGGCGACGAUGGGUAGCCGGCCUGAGAGGGCGAACGGCCACACUGGGACUGAGACACGGCCCAGACUCCUACGGGAGGCAGCAGUGGGGAAUCUUCCGCAAUGGGCGAAAGCCUGACGGAGCAACGCCGCGUGAGGGAAG
rnacentral:rRNA from 1 species